rnacentral:rRNA from 1 species
GAUGAACGCUGGCUACAUGCUUAACACAUGCAAGUCGAGGGGAAACGACAUCGAAAGCUUGCUUUUGAUGGGCGUCGACCGGCGCGCGGGUGAGUAACGCGUAUCCAACCUGCCCAUCACUUGGGAAUAACCUUGCGAACGUAAGACUAAUACCCAAUGACAUCCCACGAAGACAUCUGAAUGGGAUUAAAGUUUUAUCGGUGAUGGAUGGGGAUGCGUCUGAUUAGCUUGUUGGCGGGGUAACGGCCCACCAAGGCAACGAUCAGUAGGGGUUCUGAGAGGAAGGUCCCCCACAUUGGAACUGAGACACGGUCCAAACGCCUACGGGAGGCAGCAGUGAGGAAUAGUGGUCAAUGGGAGAGAGCCUGAACCAGCCAAGUAGCGUGCAGGAGGACGGCCCUAUGGGUGGUGAACUGCUUUUAUAAGGGAAUAAAGUGGGUCUCGUGAGACUUUUUGCAGGUACCUUAUGAAUAAGGACCGGCUAAUUACGUG